rnacentral:rRNA from 1 species
ACAGGGAUUGCCUCAGUAACUGCGAGUGAAGCGGCAAAAGCUCAAAUUUGAAAUCUGGUACCUUUGGGUGCCCGAGUUGUAAUUUGGAGAGGCAACUUCGGAGGAGGCGCUGGCCUAAGUUCCUUGGAACAGGACGUCACAGAGGGUGAGAAUCCCGUGCUUGGCUGGCUGUCCUCCUUCAUGUGAAGUGUCUUCGACGAGUCGAGUUGUUUGGGAAUGCAGCUCAAAAUGGGUGGUAAACUCCAUCUAAGGCUAAAUAUUGGCGAGAGACCGAUAGCGCACAAGUAGAGUGAUCGAAAGAUGAAAAGCACUUUGAAAAGAGAGUUAAAAAGUACGUGAAAUUGUUGAAAGGGAAGCGCUUGAGACCAGACUCGGUGAUUGGUGAUCAGCGGUUGCUUUUGCUCCGUGCACUUGCCUUUUACUGGGCCAGCAUCAGUUGUGACGGCGGGAUAAAGACUUAGGGAAUGUGGCUCUCUUCGGGGAGUGUUAUAGCCCUGGGUGUAAUGCCGCCUGUUACGACUGAGGACCGCGCUUCGGCUAGGAUGCUGGCAUAAUGGUCUUCAGCGACCCGUCUUGAAACACGGACCAAGGAGUCUAACAUCUAUGCGAGUGUUCGGGUGUAAAACCCCUACGCGUAAUGAAAGUGAACGGAGGUGGGAACUCUUCGGAGUGCACCAUCGACCGAUCCUGAUGUCUUCGGAUGGAUUUGAGUAGGAGCAUAGCUGUUGGGACCCGAAAGAUGGUGAACUAUGCCUGAAUAGGGUGAAGCCAGAGGAAACUCUGGUGGAGGCUCGCAGCGGUUCUGACGUGCAAAUCGAUCGUCAAAUUUGGGUAUAGGGGCGAAAGACUAAUCGAACCAUCUAGUAGCUGGUUCCUGCCGA